UAAGGAAUAUUGGUCAAUGGGCGCAAGCCUGAACCAGCCAUGCCGCGUGCAGGAUGACUGCCCUAUGGGUUGUAAACUGCUUUUGUCGGGGAAUAAACCCACCUACGAGUAGGUGGCUGAACGUACCCGAAGAAUAAGGAUCGGCUAACUCCGUGCCAGCAGCCGCGGUAAUACGGAGGAUCCAAGCGUUAUCCGGAUUUAUUGGGUUUAAAGGGUGCGUAGGCGGUCUUUUAAGUCAGGGGUGAAAUACGGCAGCUCAACUGUCGCAGUGCCCUUGAUACUGAAGGACUUGAAUAUGGUUGAGGUAUGCGGAAUGAGACAAGUAGCGGUGAAAUGCAUAGAUAUGUCUCAGAACACCGAUUGCGAAGGCAGCAUCCCAAGCCAUCAUUGACGCUGAUGCACGAAAGCGUGGGGAUCGAACA
rnacentral:rRNA from 1 species